rnacentral:rRNA from 1 species
CAUGCAAGUCGAACGGUUCCUUCGGGGACAGUGGCAGACGGGUGAGUAACGCGUGGGAACGUGCCCUUCGGUUCGGAAUAACUCAGGGAAACUUGAGCUAAUACCGGAUACGUCCGAGAGGAGAAAGAUUUAUCGCCGAAGGAUCGGCCCGCGUCUGAUUAGCUAGUUGGUGGGGUAAUGGCCUACCAAGGCGACGAUCAGUAGCUGGUCUGAGAGGAUGAUCAGCCACACUGGGACUGAGACACGGCCCAGACUCCUACGGGAGGCAGCAGUGGGGAAUAUUGGACAAUGGGCGCAAGCCUGAUCCAGCCAUGCCGCGUGAGUGAUGAAGGCCCUAGGGUUGUAAAGCUCUUUUGUCCGGGACGAUAAUGACGGUACCGGAAGAAUAAGCCCCGGCUAACUUCGUGCCAGCAGCCGCGGUAAUACGAAGGGGGCUAGCGUUGCUCGGAAUCACUGGGCGUAAAGGGCGCGUAGGCGGACGUUUAAGUCAGGGGUGAAAUCCCGGGGCUCAACCUCGGAAUUGCCUUUGAUACUGGAUGUCUCGAGACCGGAAGAGGUAAGUGGAACUGCGAGUGUAGAGGUGAAAUUCGUAGAUAUUCGCAAGAACACCAGUGGCGAAGGCGGCUUACUGGUCCGGUUCUGACGCUGAGGCGCGAAAGCGUGGGGAGCAAACAGGAUUAGAUACCCUGGUACUCCACUCUCGUAAACUAUGGGUGCUAGCCGGUGGGCAACUUGCUGUUCACUGGCGCAGCUCACGCUAUUAUCAUCCCGCCUGGGGAGUACACUCGCAAGAUUACUACUCUCAUGAGGUGACGGGGGUCCCGCAAACGGUGGAGUAUGUGGGUUAAUUCUCAGAACUCGCACAUAAUUACACCCGCCCGACGUCUCGCGUAUGGAUGCCAGCAGAUGGCUAGCUUUCAGUUCGCCCGGCUGGGACACACGCAGCUGCGUGGCUGUCUGCAGCUCGUGUCGUUGAUGAUGUUAGGUUGAGUCAUGCACGAGCGGAGACACUAGUCUCUACCCUGCCGUCGUCAUCUUAACACUUGCAGGGUUACUGCGCUGAUCAGUCCGACCACGCAGAGAGAUGACGCAAGUGCCUCAUGCCCGUAAGAGCUUGGCGUGCGUCGCUACCUACAGUGGUGAUUAGCAUUGUCACCAAGACGAACCUGAGCUAGUCGUAGUCAUCAAGUCGACUUGACUUACAGCGCGUCCUGAACGGAGUACAGUUCAAUGCUCACACAA